CCGGGCUCUGCAGCCGGGCGCCGCGGAGGCCCGAGCCCGCAGGAACGGUGCUCGUGAAGGACAGCCGGCGCUGCCAGGCCUGGAGCGGGGCCCGGAGCAGGGACCGUACCCGGUCAGAGGUGGUGAAAGGCACGUGAGACUGUGCACCACAGGUGAGCAGGUAUGUAUCGGGUGCCUUCAGUGUGCCAGGCUUGGGCCAAAUGCAGGAGUCAGGGCACCCGCAAGGGGCUCACAGCCUAAGGGAAGAGGCAAAGGAAUGAUCAAGGUGGCAUCGAGCAGAACUGACGUAUUCUUCCUGGUAGUCCAGGGAGAAGUUGAGGCUAACAAAGUCGGUCAGAGCCCUCGGUUUCCCAGGAGGGGAGACUUUCCACCCACAGUGUCCACAGAGAGGACUGUACCCGAGGAACGGCAGGAACAUGCAGAAGGUAGACUGUUGCCCAGAAGGCUCUGGAAUGAGUGCAAACCAGAAGUGGGCACCUGGCCUGGUCUGAGUGUGGAGAUGGGACUGAGGAAGUAAAAUUUCCAGGUCCCCAGUGGCUGUUGGCAGAAGAAAUAAGGGUACAGUCAGCCUUCCUGAGUGCUGACGAUACACCAAGCUCUGGCUGUGUCCCCAAGGGUGAGAGGCUCCCUUGACUGCAGAAAAUGGAGACUUCUCAAGGAAGGACCACCAGGAGGGCCCCAGAGCAGGGGUCUCUGCCCCAUCCUAGGCCUCACAGGAGCUGAGCUCAGACCCUGGCGUGCUUCAGGGAUGACCAGCUCCACUGCUCAGAAAACUGAGGUCAUUCAGGACCAGGGCCACUUUACACUGGCACACCUGUUACCCAAGGACAAGUUCUUAGUCAUGAAUGUGACUCAGCUACACCUUCCAUCUCUGCUUCUCCUUGGGUCUAACCACUUGUCCCCCUGCUCACAACUCACUAAUUUUCAUAAGACCCAGCUUAAAUUCUAGAGAGAAAGAAUCUGUUUGACUUAGUUAAUUACCAUUACUUAAGUGAUAUGGCUGUGUAAAAAAUUACCCCAAAGCUUAGUGGCUUACAACAAAACCAAAAAUGUUUACAUUGCUUUUGAAUCUGUAAUUUGGGCAGGGGUUGGUUAAGAGCUCGGCUGCUCACCAAAAGGUCGGCAGUUCGAAUCCACCAGCCACCCCUUGGAAACCUUAUGGGGCAGUUCCACUGUCCUAUAGGGAUGCUAUGAGUUGGAAUCGGCUUGAUGGCAAUGGGUUUGGUUUCGGUUUUUGGUAGGGAUAGCUCAUCUCUGCCUUACAUUGUGUCUCCUGGGAUGCUUGAAGCCUGUGGGCUAGAAUCUUAAGGCUCCCUUUUUCACGUGUUGUAGUUGAUGCUGGCUGUUGGCUGACUUAGCUGGGGCUGUUGGCUGGAAAACCUGCAUGUGGCCUCUCCAGUGUCUUGGGCUUCCUCACAACAUGGUGGCUGGGUUGUAAAAGUGAGUGUCCUCAGAGUGAGAGAGAGAGAGCCAGGUGGAAGUUAUAUUAUAUUUUAUGAUCUAGUCUCAGAAGUUACUGCAUUCCGUUCAAGGCAAUCACAAAGUCCCACCUCGCUCAGAGGGAGGGGAACCCCUUGAUGGAUGUGGCAAGGGGCUAGAAAAGCAUAUGAGUAGAAAUAUUGCAGUGGCCAGUUUUAGAAAAUACUGUCUGUCAUGAUCAUCCUCUCUGUUUGGGCACAGCUCUUCCUGCCAGGCCAUCUCACAGGUCACUGGCCAGUCAGUGGCUGGGCUGCUUACAGGUCAGAUGUCCAGUCUCAUCGCAGUAUUGUUCUUGGGUCUGAGCAAGAGGGUCCCUGUGUUCUGGGCACAGUGAGGGCUGAGGGCUGAAACCCACUCGAUCUGGGCUCACUGGGCCUCCCUGUCCUCAGGAAGCUAAACCCAUAGCUCCAGACUGCCUGUCUAUGGGUGUGAUGGUUAAGACUGCGUCGUCUUGGCUGGCUCAUGAUUCUCAGUGUCUUGGCAGUUGUAUAACGUUGUGAUCAUUUCCCUGUUGAAAUCUGAUAUGUGAUCACCCCCAUGAUGGAAUCUGCUGAGUGGUACUUGUCGGGGUGGGGCCUGUGGCAGCUCACUGUUCCCUCAGCCAUCAUCUCUCUGCCCUCCGUCACCAACUUCCUCCCUGUUGCCUUGCCAAGGCUUUUGGCUUGUCCUGGAUCCUGCAGCUGGCUCCUGUUCAUUAGACCUCUGGUUCUCGGGACUUGACCUAUCAGCUUACCUGCCGAUCUUGGGCUCACCAGCCCCUGGGGCUACGGGAAUCAGGAGAAGCCCUACCCUGAUUCAUGGACUUGGGAUAUUCCAGCCUCUACAAUUGCGUGAGCUGUUUCCUUGAUAUAAAUCUCUCCCUCUCUUUCUCUCUCUAUAUAUACAUUUACACGCUUUACUGGUUUUGUUUCUCUAAAGAACUCAGUCUCAGACAGUGGGACUGUUCUCAGAGAGGUCUGAAGAGAUGGAGAGAGAUUGCAAGAGAGUAAGACAGAUGCCCCAUGUUAUGCUGUAUCUAUCACUCCUCUUCCUCCUUGCAUGUGCUGUUACUUCUGCCAGGAAUAGUGUUCCCUGCCCUUUACUUCCAAUAACUCUUCCUGCCUCCUGGGGUCUCCCUGAUUAGGGUGCUGUUAUGGAUUGAAUUGUGUUCCCCAAAAAUAUCUGUCAACUUAGCUGGGCCAUGAUUCUCGGUAUUGUGUGAUUGUCCACCAUUUUACGUGAUUUUCCUAUAUGUUGUAAAUCCUAUCACUAUCAUGUAAUAAGAUGGAUUAGUGGCAGUUUAUCGAUGAGGUCUAUAAGAUUAGGUAGUGUCUUAAGCCAAUCUCUUUUGAGAUAUAAAAGAAAAAAUCGAGCAGAGAGACAUGGGGACCUCAUACCACCAAGAAACCAUCAGUGGGAGCAGCGUGCCUCUUUGGAUCUGAGGUUCUUGUGCUGAGAUGCUCCCAGACCAAGGGAAGACGGAUGACAAGGACCUUCCUCCAGAGCCUUCCCCUGGAGCCGGCACCCUGAAUUCGGACCUCUAGCCUACUAGACUGUGAGAGAAUAAACUUUCCUUUGUUAGAGCCA